GUAGAGGAUGCUUCUGGGCAGCGGCCGGUCUAAGUUCCUUGGAACAGGACGUCAUAGAGGGUGAGAAUCCCGUAUGCGACCGGUUGGCACCCGUCACGUAGCUCCUUCGACGAGUCGAGUUGUUUGGGAAUGCAGCUCUAAAUGGGUGGUAAAUUCCAUCUAAAGCUAAAUACCGGCCAGAGACCGAUAGCGCACAAGUAGAGUGAUCGAAAGAUGAAAAGCACUUUGGAAAGAGAGUUAAAAAGCACGUGAAAUUGUUGAAAGGGAAGCGCAUGCAACCAGACUUGUCGGCGGUGUUCCGCCGGUCUUCUGACCGGUCUACUCGCCGCCGGCAGGCCAGCAUCGUGUGGGUGUGCCGGAUAAAGGCGCUAGGAAUGUGGCCCCUCGGGGUGUUAUAGCCUAGCGCACAAUACGGUGCCGCCCGCGCGAGGUCCGCGCUUCGGCUAGGAUGCUGGCGUAAUGGUUGUCUGCGGCCCGUCUUGAAACACGGACCAAGGAGUCUAACAUCUAUGCGAGUGUUCGGGUGUCAAACCCCUACGCGGAAUGAAAGUGAACGGAGGUGGGAACCCUUACGGGUGCACCAUCGACCGAUCCUGAUGUCUUCGGAUGGAUUUGAGUAAGAGCAUAGCUGUUGGGACCCGAAAGAUGGUGAACUAUGCCUGAAUAGGGUGAAGCCAGAGGAAACUCUGGUGGAGGCUCGCAGCGGUUCUGACGUGCAAAUCGAUCGUCAAAUUUGGGUAUAGGGGCGAAAGACUAAUCGAACCAUCUAGUAGCUGGUUCCUGCCG
rnacentral:rRNA from 1 species